AGUGUUCACGGCAGGUCAAAGCCUCGAAUAUAUUAGCAUGGAAUAAUAUUAUAGGACUCAUGUUCUUAUUUUGUUGGUUUCAGGAGCUAGAGUAAUGGUCGAUAGGGAUUGCUGGGGGCAUUUGUAUUAACGCGUCAGAGGUGGAAUUCUUGGAUUGCGUUACGACAAACUACUGCGAAAGCAUUUGUCAAGAAUGUUUUCUUUGAUCAAGAACGAAAGUAUGGGGAUCGAAGAUGAUUAGAUACCGUCGUAUUCUAUACCAUAAACUAUGCCGACUAGGGAUUGGAGGUCGUUCUAUCUGUGACCCCUUCAGCACCUUACGAGAAAUCAGAGUCUUUGGGUUCCGGGGGGAGUAUGGUCGCAAGGCUGAAACUUAAAGGAAUUGACGGAAGGGCACCACCAGGAGUGGAGCCUGCGGCUUAAUUUGACUCAACACGGGGAAACUCACCAGGUCCAGACAUAGUAAGGAUUGACAGAUUGAUAGAUCUUUCUUGAUUCUAUGGGUGGUGGUGCAUGGCCGUUCUUAGUUGGUGGAGUGAUUUGUCCGGU
rnacentral:rRNA from 1 species